ACGAUCGAUGCGAUGAUGAUGGUGUAUCUUGUUGCCUCUCCUCUUGGGGAAACGACGAAACGUCGCAGCGGCCGUGAGACAACAAAUUCAUUUCGAAUAAUUUCGCAAUUGCUCACCCCAAGUACAGCGUGCCCUCAACGCGAAUUGCGAAGUCACCACGCGCGCGACCAGGGAUUGAAAUGAUGCUGAGGAUCGUGCCAUGAGGGAUCGAUGGUCGUCCAUUACCUAGAUUAAACGAGUUACAUCUAAAGAUCAGUUUAAAUUGGAA